UGGGGAAUUUUGGACAAUGGGGGAAACCCUGAUCCAGCCAUCCCGCGUGUGCGAUGAAGGCCUUCGGGUUGUAAAGCACUUUUGGCAGGAAAGAAACGUCAUGGGUUAAUACCCCGUGAAACUGACGGUACCUGCAGAAUAAGCACCGGCUAACUACGUGCCAGCAGCCGCGGUAAUACGUAGGGUGCAAGCGUUAGUCGGAAUUACUGGGCGUAAAGCGUGCGCAGGCGGUUCGGAAAGAAAGAUGUGAAAUCCCAGAGCUCAACUUUGGAACUGCAUUUUUAACUACCGGGCUAGAGUGUGUCAGAGGGAGGUGGAAUUCCGCGUGUAGCAGUGAAAUGCGUAGAUAUGCGGAGGAACACCGAUGGCGAAGGCAGCCUCCUGGGAUAACACUGACGCUCAUGCACGAAAGCGUGGGGAGCAAACAGG
rnacentral:rRNA from 1 species